AGCGAACGCUGGCGGCGUGCUUAACACAUGCAAGUCGAGCGAGAAAGGGGGCUUCGGCCCCUGAGUACAGCGGCGAACGGGUGCGUAAUACAUGAGCAAUCUACCCUUGGGGCGGGAAUAACCCAGCGAAAGUUGGGCUAAUACCGGAUAAGACCACAAGAGGAAACCCUAGAGGUCAAAGGCAGCUCUCUUUUGGGGGGCGGCCCUUCGAGGAGGAGCUCAUGUCCUAUCAGCAGUUGGUAGGGUAACGGCCUACCAAGGCGAAGACGGGUAGCUGGUCUUAGAGGA
rnacentral:rRNA from 1 species